rnacentral:rRNA from 1 species
UACAGAGGGUGCAAGCGUUGUUCGGAAUUAUUGGGCCUAAAGCGUCCGUAGCUGGCUUGUUAGAUGCCUGGGUAAAUCGAUGCGCUUAACGCAUCGAAUUCCGGGUAGACCGGCAAGCUCGAGACCGGGAGAGGUGUAGGGUACUCGGGGGGUAGGGGUAAAAUCCUGUAAUCCUCCGGGGACGACCAGUGGCGAAGGCGCUACACUAGAACGGCUCUGACAGUGAGGGACGAAGCCCUGGGGCGCAAACCGG